UGACAAACCGUGAGAGAGAAGGGAGAAGGGAGAAAGAAGAAGAAGAAGAGAAAAGAGGAAAAUUAGAAAGGAAAUAGAAAGGAGUUGGAGGAAAUAAGUAAAAAGGGUUUUGUCAUCUCUGAUUGGGAGGGUGUCGCUAGGGUUACUUACCCUCCUCAUUGAAACUACACAGAAUUAGUUCUGAAAGGAAUUUCAGCCGGCAUUGACAUGAUCAUGAUUCCAUACAACCAUACCGAGUUCAUCAAUAUUAUGACUGACUUAGUAAAUAACAAUUAUAUGUCCAUGGACCGUAUUGAAUAUGAUGCUGUCAGGAGGAUUUUGCGAGUGAAAUUCACUUUAGGUCUAUUUGAGACUCCCUUAGCUGAUGAGACCUUGGUUGACCAGCUCGAAAGCCAUGUAGCUUUAUAUGUCUGAAUCUAAGCAUUCCUUUCCCAUUUUAGGAGAUUAAUUAUUUGUCCGAAAACUUGCCACUUGUUAUGAAAACUGGCUCACAGAGAUUUGGCAAGGGAAGCUGUGAGGAAGUCACUGGUGCUGUUGAAGAAUGGAGAGAACGCGGAUGCCCCAGUUGUACCCCUCUCUAAAAAAGCAUCUAGGAUCCUUGUAGCCGUAAGCCAUGCCAACAAUCUGGGCUAUCAGUGUGGAGGAUGGACUGCAACUUGGCAAGGCGUUGAUGGCAACAAUUACACUGCUGGUAUAAUUAACAUGCUUCUCCUUUUUGCUUCCAUUUCAAGCACGAUUCUCUUGAAUUUAAGUAUAAUAGUAGCAGUAUUGAUGGAGCUUGUCCUAUCGCACAAUGAGCAGGAACCACCGUCUUAAGUGGUAUCUCAGUCGUAGUUGAUCCAAGCACAGAAAUCGUCUACAGCAAGAACCCUGAUGUUGAUUUCGUCAAGUCCAACAACUUCUCUUAUGCCAUUGUUGUGGUCGGAGAGACUACUUAUG